rfam:Emmonsia sp. CAC-2015a strain CBS 136260 supercont2.858, whole genome shotgun sequence.
AGACCAGUGACGCAGUGGUUAGCGUUCCGUUCUUAUAUGAUUCUCAGUAGUUGCCCAGAACUGCUUGUUUUGGUGUGGCCUGAACUCAUAUGACAUAUUCCUCAGUGAUGCGGGGGUCGUGGGUUCGAAUCCCACUUGGUCUA